rnacentral:rRNA from 1 species
AGCCUAAAGUAGUUAUUUUAGGUGAGGCCUGCCCACUGCCUAGUGUAAACGGCCGCAGUACUCUGACUGUGCUAAGGUAGCAUAAUCAGUUGGCUUUUAAAUGGAGUCGGGAAUGAAUGGAUUUAUAGGGAGAAGCUGUCUCUUAUGUAUUGUUUUGAAUUUAAUUAGUAGGUGAAAAUCCCUACAUAAAGAAAAAAGACGAGAAGACCCUAGGAGUUUUAAUUAACUUUUAAUUUAUUUAACUAGAGUUUUUGUUGGGGCAACAUAGGAACAUUUAAAAUUUCCUUUUUAUAAUACGCCGACUAUGUAUGUACAAAAAAACUACCCUAGGGAUAACAGCGUAAUUUUUAUUUAAGCUUGCGACCUCGAUGUUGGACUAGGAAUUUAAUUGGUUAGCCGCCAAUUAAUAUUGUUCUGUUCGAACUUGAUUUCC